GUCAAAUUUUUUGAUCACUUUUUAUUUUAUUAUUUUUUUCUCUGUAGAUUUUGGGAACAGCGCCCUGUCAGAUUUUCUAAUUGCUUCAGAUUCAGAGUGAACAUAAAGAAAUGUCAUUUUAUUUGCUGGGUUAUUUUUGGUUCUCUCAGUAUAUGUGAUUCCUCCUGAACAACUUACCUCAAUUACCGAUGAUGCUGGGUAUCACUAAAUAUGUUUUUACUUCAACUCUCAACUAUGAAACGUAUGCUGAAGGUUUUUAAUCGAGCUGAGGCGUUUGACGACCAUACCUCCAAUACUAAGUAGUUUGAUUAUGGUGGUUCUUCUUCUUCCAAGGCUUUUCCGAACCCAAAGCAUUCUUGAUUAUGAUCUGUAUACUUACAAAUUCGGAACAAUAUUGGGCUGCGAUCCAAGACCCAGAGGGAUGUCAUUAAAGGUAUACACUCUCAAUUUGUUUAUAUGUUGUGAAUUGAAGUACUCUCAGUAUAAACAUAUUGUUCUGUUUGAUCUGUUUCAAUGUGAAUAUCAAUGUUUCCAUAGAAAGAUCAGUUCUCGAUGAUCAGAGCGCCUGCGGAUAGAGGUAGUAAAGGCAAGAGUCUGGGCGACAAGGUUGCUGUCAUCAAGAGGUGCUCCAGCUGCGGCAAGAGCAUCAACAACCGUCUUGAUUUGCUACAGAUAGUCGGUGAUGGAGAGGCUACCCUUUUGAAUGGUCUGAAUCUGUUGGUUCAUAGGAUCUGGUCAAGGCAGCAAGUUUGCGCUCGAGAGUGAGCCAAAGAGAGCUUGCAGAGGUAGAGCCAACUGCGAAAGGGACGAAGAACUCAGAGAGAGAAGCAAUCGGCCAAAUUCGACAGCUAAAGUCUGGUAUGUCAUGGUUUGAGAUCGAGAAUUUCCUUUCUAAGGACUUAUUCCUGGAUCGGUAGCAGCAUUGAUCUUAUUGCACGUUUUCAAGGCUACUUCCAAUGGAGCAGUUCAUCAAAAUUGUAAAAUUUCAAUACUCAUUCUGCAAGGAUACUAAGAAAGGAUACUUUAUCCUUUUACAAGGAAGGCUCCAAUUCAGUUUCUGCUUUCAAGCUUGAGACGUGUUGCUCUCUAACGUUAGCUCUCAUCGAAACUUUCCACAAUUCACAUGGAAUAUUGCAGCUUGGGCAGACAACGAUGUUUGACUAAUCUGUGAAUGUCAAGCAGCUUGAGAACAUAUUGUGAUCCAUGUCAACUUCCACUAUCGGAUAGCCUAUCCGCAGCAAAGCGCGGGCACGCUUUCUAGUUUUCUUUUGUUCUUUGGUUGAUGAUAAGUGUUGUUCAAUUGAUCAAACAUGUUUAUCAGCUAUAUAUGUAUUUGAAUCUGGUAUUCA